rnacentral:rRNA from 1 species
AUGGCAGCAGAGAAGGAAGGUCGUGGGGGCAGAGGAGGAUGGAUGCGCGUCGCCGUCGGUGGUCAAGGAGCAGGGCGUAAUAGAAAGGAUGAAGCACGAGGUGGCGGUGGCAGCACAAUUUGGGGAGUGAGCGGCGGUGGCGGUGUGACCGUGGAGUGCGGCGGCGGUUGUGGGGCGAUCUGGGGAGGGCGGUGGUGGCGGCGUGACCCGGUGAUGGUGGUGGCGGCCCGAUUUGGGGAGAGCGGCGACGACUGCUUCGGCUGGUUUGGCCGGUGUUCGGGACGGCAUCAGGGAAGAAGCUAG